UACGUAGGUGGCAAGCGUUGUCCGGAUUUACUGGGCGUAAAGAGCGCGCAGGCGGUCGUUCAAGUCGAGUGUGAAAGCCCCCGGCUCAACUGGGGAGGGUCACUCGAUACUGAUCGACUUGAAGGCGGGAGAGGGAAGCGGAAUUCCAGGUGUAGCGGUGAAAUGCGUAGAUAUCUGGAGGAACACCGGUGGCGAAGGCGGCAUCCUGGACCGAUACUGACCCUGAGGAGCGAAAGCCAGGGGAGCAAACGGG
rnacentral:rRNA from 1 species